rnacentral:rRNA from 1 species
CCUACGGGAGGCAGCAGUGGGAAUUUUGGACAAUGGGCGAAAGCCUGAUCCAGCAAUGCCGCGUGUGUGAAGAAGGCCUUCGGGUUGUAAAGCACUUUUGUCCGGAAAGAAAUCCCUGGCUCUAAUACAGUCGGGGGAUGACGGUACCGGAAGAAUAAGCACCGGCUAACUACGUGCCAGCAGCCGCGGUAAU